GCCCGGUUAGCUCAGUGUUAGAGCAUCAGACUCUUAAUCUGAUGGCCAUUGGUUCGAGUCCCAUAUCGGGCU
rnacentral:tRNA from 1 species